rnacentral:lncRNA from 1 species
AGGCGGUGCCGCGCCACGACUCCUCCUACGGCACCUUCGCGGGGGAGUUCUACGACCUGCGCUACCUGUCGGAGGAGGGAAAGUGUCUGGCUGGUCCGGGCUGAGAAGGCAACUUUGUUCCACAUGAUCAUUCAGGGAUCCAG